rnacentral:sRNA from 1 species
CUCUAAACCCGAUUGCAGUGAAAAUUUUUUUGAUGCACGUUGUUGACAGACGAAACAACAAUCGCAAAAAGAUUGAAACGAAAAGCGGGACUGAAA